rnacentral:rRNA from 1 species
UACGAAGGGGGCUAGCGUUGCUCGGAAUCACUGGGCGUAAAGCGCACGUAGGCGGAUUCUUAAGUCAGGGGUGAAAUCCUGGAGCUCAACUCCAGAACUGCCUUUGAUACUGAGGGUCUUGAGUUCGGGAGAGGUGAGUGGAACUGCGAGUGUAGAGGUGAAAUUCGUAGAUAUUCGCAAGAACACCAGUGGCGAAAGCGGCUUCCUGGUCCAGCACCGACGUUCAGGCACGAAAGCGUGGGGAGCAAACAGG